rnacentral:rRNA from 1 species
GACGAACCGAGCGAACGUUGUUCGGAAUCACUGGGCUUAAAGGGCGCGUAGGCGGGUAUCCAAGUCUGUGGUGAAAUCCGGCAGCUUAACUGUCGAACUGCCAUGGAUACUGGGUAUCUCGAGGGAGGUAGGGGCGUGCGGAACUAUUGGUGGAGCGGUGAAAUGCGUUGAUAUCAAUAGGAACUCCGGUGGCGAAGGCGGCACGCUGGACCUCUUCUGACGCUGAGGCGCGAAAGCCAGGGGAGCAAACGGG